rnacentral:misc_RNA from 1 species
CCGCACAAUUACAAUAUUCUGCCCAGGCACUGAGAGGGACCUAGAAACAACUCCCUGAGCUGCUCCUUUACUUGUUUUAUGAGAUUCACCAUGCAUUCUUGCAGAAAUGGNCUUGCAGAAAUGGGGGUGGAAACUGAAGGUGACAAGUUUGAUGCAGGUGUAACAGGAAGAGAUGUGCAUCUUUUCCAAGCAGACCUGAGACUGGCCAUAACAGGACUAUCUGGAGCUGUAGUAGGAUCUGAAUUGAUGAGAAAGCUCCGCUCAGUCUCACCGUCAGGUACAACUACAACACCUUUUUUCUUGAAGCUUAAACCACGCAAUAAACCUCCAGAUGAUGAACUGCCUUUACUUGAAUUUUGGGAGUGGAUUAAACCUUUUCCACUCCUACAAGUGCCAAAACCUA